UACAGAGGUCUCAAGCGUUGUUCGGAUUCAUUGGGCGUAAAGGGUGCGUAGGCGGUGGGGCAAGUCAGGUGUGAAAUCCCGGAGCUCAACUCCGGAACUGCACUUGAUACUGCUUUACUAGAGUACUGGAGAGGAGACUGGAAUUUACGGUGUAGCAGUGAAAUGCGUAGAUAUCGUAAGGAAGACCAGUGGCGAAGGCGAGUCUCUGGACAGUUACUGACGCUGAGGAGCGAAAGCGUGGGGAGCGAACAGG
rnacentral:rRNA from 1 species